rnacentral:lncRNA from 1 species
GAUGUGCAAGGGGAUGACAAGCGAUACUUCCGUCGACUGAUCUUCCUCAGCAACAGGAAUGUGGUGCAGUCCGAAGCCAGGUUGCUGAAGGAUGUGUCUCACAAAGCCCAGAAGAAGCGGAAAAAGGACAGGAAGAAGCAGCGGCCUGCUGAUGCGGAGGACCUCCCUGCAGCCCCGGGGCAGUCCAUUGAUAAGAGUUACCUGUGUUGUGAACACCACAAAGCCAUGAUCGCUGGCCUUGCCCUGCUGAGAAACCCAGAGCUACUCCUAGCACGGCCUUGCUACGAUGUCAUAAUGUUUGAUGUUGACAGUAAGGACCCAACACUGGGAAUGAGUUGUCCGCCCCCAGCAUUUGUGGAGCAAUCUUUUCUACAGAAGGUUAAAAGCAUCUUGACUCCUGAAGAUGCUACCACACAGUUUUACAAAGUGGUUGUAGCAGUUCACACUCCCACCAGCAUGGUGAUGCUAGCUACUACAUGAUGCUUCCUACACGUGCUCUACUAGGCAGUGUGUUAUUUAAUCUUCAUAGCAGUCCACUUUUUGGAUGAGGAAACUGAGGUUGAAGAUUUGCCAAGGUGACGCAAGGUAACAGUUGGGGCUCAAAGUCAGUGCCUUGUCACCUCAAAACUGGAGCCUUUAAUCCCUAUGUUAACAACCCUCUAGGUAUUUUUGAUUUGGUGUAAGGCACUGUGGUAACUGGCUUGAUUUGGAAUCUUAAUUGUCAGAAGUCAAGAUAACCUCGGCCCUGUCACUGGUUAAUACUCUAUGGUGUGUAUGCCAAGAAUGUAAUAUCCCUGUGGAGUUGGUAAAUUUUACUUUCGUAGGGAAUCACUUUCUAUUGAUUGAUUGAGACAAAGUCUCAUUCCGUCACCCAGGCUGGAUUUUGGCUCACUGCAACCUCUGCCUCCUGGGUUCAAGAGAUUCUCCUGCCUCAGCCCCACUAGCAGCUCCUGCCUCAGCCUCCCUAGCAGCUGGGAUUACAGGCGUCCACCACCAUGCCCAGCUAAUUUUUAUAUUUUUAGUAGAGCCGGGGUUUCACCAUUUUGGCCAGGCUGGUCUCAAACUCCUGACUUCGAGUGAUCCGCCUGCCUCAGCCUCCCAAAGUGAUGGGAUCAUAGACAUGAGCCACCGUGCCCAGCUGGGAAUCACUUCUUUCUCAAAGCUAUUCUUUGAGAAGCUAUUUGGGAAACUGAGGCUUGGAGAAUGGUAAAAUAACAUGUGAGCAGCACAGAAGAGCAAGAAAUAAGGCUGGAGUUUGUUUAUGGCUCACAUGCUCCCCAUGCUUUUCUCCAUCUGCCUUUCUAUGCUGUGUAUUCUCUGCAAACUCAUCACCACCGUGUGUUUUAGUCCACCAGUCUCCCUGGGACAGGAAUUGGUAUUUUCCUCAAAGCCGAUCCUUGUCUUUCAUAUGUCUCCUGAUGUGAGGUCAUUCUGACUUUUCUUCCUACCCUAUAGGUGUUUUUAUUCUCAACCUUGUGUGCCGAGACUUGGGGCUAAAAGACUCAGUGCUGGCUGGGCUCAAGGCAGUGUUCCCCCUCCUAUAUGUCCGGCGAAUUGAGGGUGAAGUGAAUGAGAUCCUGUUCUGUCAGCUGCACCCUGAGCAAAAACUUGCCACACCAGAGCUCCUAGAAACAGCCCAGGCUUUGGAGCGGACCCUGAGGAAGCCUGGGAGGGGUUGGGAUGACACGUAUGUCUUGUCAGAUAUGCUCAAGACGGUGAAAAUUGUGUGACUGCUUAGGCCAAGCAGCCCUCCUGCCUAGACUGACCUUGGACUCCCAGCCUGCCAGAGAAUGAAGAAAUACAACGCACAGUACUUUUGAAGCUUCGUAUUUUUCUUGGUUUCACACUCAGCUACAUGUGACCUCCAGCUUGGUGAG